rnacentral:rRNA from 1 species
UACGUAGGGAGCAAGCGUUGUUCGGAUUUACUGGGCGUAAAGGGCGCGUAGGCGGCGCGGUAAGUCACUUGUGAAAUCUCUGAGCUUAACUCAGAACGGCCAAGUGAUACUGCAGUGCUAGAGUGCAGAAAGGGCAGUCGGAAUUCUUGGUGUAGCGGUGAAAUGCGUAGAUAUCAAGAGGAACACCUGAGGCGAAGGCGGGUUGCUAGGCUGACACUGACGCUGAGGCGCGAAAGCCAGGGGAGCAAACGGG